UAAUACGUAGGGGGCGAGCGUUGUCCGGAUUUAUUGGGCGUAAAGAGCUCGUAGGCGGCUUGGCAAGUCGGGUGUGAAAACUCCAGGCUCAACCUGGAGACGCCACUCGAGACUGCUAUGGCUAGAGUCCGGUAGGGGACCACGGAAUUCCUGGUGUAGCGGUGAAAUGCGCAGAUAUCAGGAGGAACACCGGUGGCGAAGGCGGUGGUCUGGGCCGGCACUGACGCUGAGGAGCGAAAGCGUGGGGAGCAAACAGGAUUAGAUACCCUGGUAGUCCACGCCGUAAACGUUGGGCACUAGGUGUGGGACCUUAUCAACGGGUUCCGUGCCGUAGCUAACGCAUUAAGUGCCCCGCCUGGGGAGUACGGCCGCAAGGCUA
rnacentral:rRNA from 1 species